GACGAACGCUGGCGGCGUGCUUAACACAUGCAAGUCGAACGGAAAGGCCCUGCUUUUGUGGGGUUCUCGAGUGGCGAACGGGUGAGGAACACGUGAGUAACCUGCCCUUGACUUUGGGAUAACUUCAGGAAACGGGGGCUAAUACCGGAUAGGAGCUCCUGCUGCAUGGUGGGGGUUGGAAAGUUUCGGCGGUUGGGGAUGGACGGGCGGCUGAUCAGCUUGUUGGUGGGGUAGUGGCUUACCAAGGCUUUGGCGGGUAGGCGGCCUGAGAGGGUGACCGGGCACAUUGGGACUGAGAUACGGCCCAGAGUGCUACGGGAGGCAGCAGUGGGGAAUAUUGCACAAUGGGCGGAAGCCUGAUGCAGCAACGCCGCGUGCGGGAUGACGGCCUUCGGGGUGUAAACCGCUUUCGUCUGUGACGAAGCGUGAGUGACGGUAAUGGGUAAAGAAGCACCGGCUAACUACGUG
rnacentral:rRNA from 1 species